AAGCUCGUAGUUGAAUUUCGGGAUCAAGGAAUCGGUCAUGCCUUGUUAUGUACUGGUUUUAUUGGUUCUCACCUUCUAAAGAACCAUAAUGUCAUUUAUGGGGAAUUAGGACUGUUCCCUUGAAAAAAUUAGAGUGUUUAAAGCAAGCUUACGCUUGAAUACAUUAACAUGGAAUAAUGAAAUAGGACAUCAGAUUCUAUUUUGUUGGUUUCUAGGAUCGACGUAAUGAUUAAUAGGGAUAGUUGGG
rnacentral:rRNA from 1 species